CUACGGGUUGCUGCAGUCGAGAAUCUUCCGCAAUGGGCGAAAGCCUGACGGAGCGACGCCGCGUGGUUGAUGAAGUCCUUAGGGACGUAAAGACCUUUUAUGAGGGAGGAAGUUUAUUGACGUUACCUCAUGAAUAAGGGGCUCCCAACUCUGUGCCAGCAGGAGCGGUAAUACAGAGGCCCCAAGCAUUAUCCGGAUUCACUGGGCGUAAAGGGUGCGUAGGCGGUUAUAUUAGUCGGGUGUUAAAUCCUGGGGCUCAACCUCAGGCCUGCAUUCGAAACGGUAUAACUAGAAGAAGUCAGAGGUAAGCAGAACUCUCGGUGUAGGGGUGAAAUCCGUUGAUAUCGAGGGGAAUACCAAAUGCGAAGGCAGCUUACUGGGACUUUCUUGACGCUGAGGCACGAAAGCGUGGGUAGCGAAUCGGAUUAGAUACCCUUGUAGUC
rnacentral:rRNA from 1 species